AUCGCUUCUCGGCCUUUUGGCUAAGAUCAAGUGUAGUAUCUGUUCUUAUCAGUUUAAUAUCUGAUAUGUCCUCUAUACGAGGACAAACAUAUUAAAGUGAUUUUUAGAGCUGGGAGCUGAAAAAGGGGCAUGCUCCGUUCGCUCCAUGCAUCGUCCCAGCAUUGCAGUGCCGCCGGGUACGGUGCAACCUUC
rnacentral:snRNA from 1 species